rnacentral:lncRNA from 1 species
AUUCGAAGAUAAACUUAGAUUUCAAGAACCAACAUGAUACAUGCUCAGAACUGCUAACUUGACCAGAUAAAUUAAAAAAAAUAAUUCUGUCUCUAUGAACCAACAUGAUACACGCUCAGAACUACUAAUUUGACUAGAUAAAUAAAAAAUAAUAAUUAUUUCUCAGUAACUCUAAUUAUUUUACGCUGCUUUAACAUUGCCGGGCUUCUUACAUUUUAGUUUUUUCGGAUGAAAUUUUUCGCUAAAUUUGUUUUGAUUUUGGUGGAGAAAACGAGUUCGUCGAAAAACGGUGUUCUGUCGUUAAGCCACAUCGCCUGUUUUUUUCUAAAUCUAAAGUUUUAGUUACUAUGAAUAUUUUAAAUUGUGUCUUCUAAUUUUUUUGGCACAGUU